ACAUAUGCAAAUGUUAAGCAUAUUUGAGAGCAAAAAGAGCAAGUCUGAUUUUCAAGCAAUAUAUGUGAGAUACAAGUGUGCACGUCUGAAGCUACAUGAACUAAUAUAGAAGAACCAAUUUCAUCAUUAUGUUUAUUCUAAGUCUAGUUCAAUUGUAGUAGGUUUUUAUAUUGUACCCUUCAGCUUUCUUAGAAGCAAUUGUAUUAGGUACUCUGAGUAUUCAAGUUAGAGGUAAUUUGAAAAUGUCGCAACAGUUGAGGCUGUGUGCCACACUGGGAUUAGAGUUAAUCCUUAGGUUUACAAAGA
rnacentral:lncRNA from 1 species